UCCGAGCCCCCAGACCCUCCUCUGCUGACUGAAGUUCCCUUUUGCUUAGUGACCGAAUUAACAAACAAGUGAAGCAGCUGUCCUAGACCGCCUAAUGCAUAUUCAUUCUUAUUUGCUGCAAUCUUCUCCAGUUUAUCAAACAGGUGUCUGUGAUAACUUCUGUUGACCGAUUUUUCCUCACUUAAUGCACCAUCAUAUGAACUUUUAUAUCUACCAGUACUUUGUAAACAUAGAAACCCAUCAAUGCGAGCUGGGUGGAAGAGCCCCUGAGCUAACACUUCUUCAGCCAACUUAGAUAGAUUUAUUCUGCAUUCAGAAUUACUGCCAACAAAAUCAGAAUGCAGCACAACCAACAAGUGCAACAGAGGCUCCAGAAGUUUAUCUAUGAAAUCAAGAAAACCAUUUUUGCGCAUAGGAUGGACCCUCAAGAACUUCGCAAAUGGCUCCAGUAGGCUACAAGGUAAUUGCAUGAAUAAGUUGCCCGCCUUACAAUUAUCAAGCUCGUCUUUAACAAGCCUUAAGGCAAGGUCUAGCACCAUAUUCAUGACCGAAAUCCAUAUACCCAGAUUUUCAUUUGAAAAUCCACCAUGGGAUGAGAAGAUUGAUGAGAUACAAUUCAGCACAGUGUCAUAAAAUUCCAAUUGCUCACAAGAAAGUGCCACCUCGCAACAUGAGGUUAGAUAAUUUAUAUGAGAUAACAUAUCCCUUGCUACGCAAUGAAUAACCCAUAAUAAGUCUCUAGAAAAGGUCAGUGAAACAUGUAGAUUCUGCGACUUCUCCAAACAGAAUUUCAAAAUUUUCCAGCCUCUGAUAUCCAAACACAACGCUGAGGAAACUUCAUACUCAGCUUUGUUUCCUUCCUGCCUCAUUUUCUUCUCUGAUGAAAUCAAGACUGAUUGUACCCAGUUGUUCAUAAAAACUAACACUCUACAACUAUUAAUCGUCUCAGGGCAUUGACCAAUAUCAUCCACUGCUUCAUCAGUUAUCGAAUUCACAUAACUGAAUGCCAAAUCAACCUUCCUGCAUCAUAUUGUCUUUUCUAUCAAACACGGAUUAAAUACCCAAAAAGCACAUAUUCACAAACAAAAGUAAGUAAAAACAUUAAACACUUUGAUGGGGAGAAACGAAACAUAUAUUUUACAAAACUAAAUUUCCAAAUACUAAAUGUGAAAAUCAAAACAGGAGGAACGAGUUCCAAUUUUGUUCGGGGAAGCAAAAUUUUCAGCUCAAAUUUCAGAUUGCCCUGCAAGAAAGAUGCCAAUUUUAAGAAAUUUAAAAAAAAAUAAAAAUAAAAAAAAUUAUCUUACACUUUCAAACACACUAUUUUUUCCUCCAUAUCGUUUUCCAAAAUCUCUCCCAAAUCAAGCCUAAACCUCAAUAAUUAACUUCCACCUCAAUUCUAGACUCAUUAUGAUCAUAUAUACAACAAAAAAGCAACAAAAAAAUUCAGCAAUUACUGCAAACACAUAUUACGUACUUUAGAAGGUCGAUGUCUUCGUUCUGGAGGAAUAAAAUUAGCUGCAGAUUCCUCCAUGGAGAAAAAUCUUCGAGCUUCGUGUUUGUUUCUACGAUUUCUCCCUCGGACUUAUCGAUGCGUGGAAUUUUCGAAGGACCUCCACUAUGUUCUUGUGCUUCUUUUUCUAGUUCAUUAAUUUCAGUACUUUUUUGCUUUCUUUUCUUCUUUCCGUUCUUCAUCUUGUUCGUCGAUGAAGAUUCUAAGGUCGAAUUGUAAUCCGCCAUUGCUGGAAAAACGCAGUCGUUAGAGGAAGACUAGGGUUUAGGGUUUUAACGUGGGACGUUAGAGGAAGACUACAGUUAAAGGGUUUAGGGUUUUAACGUGGGACGUUAGAGGAAGACUACAGUUAAAGGGUUUAGGGUUUUAACGUGGGACGUUAGAGGAAGACUACAGUUAAAGGGUUUAGGGUUUUAACGUGGGACGUUAGAGGAAGACUACAGUUAAAGGGUUUAGGGUUUUAACGUGGGACGUUAGAGGAAGACUACAGUUAAAGGGUUUAGGGUUUUAACGUGGGACGUUAGAGGAAGACUACAGUUAAAGGGUUUAGGGUUUUAACGUGGGACGUCGAGGCUGGAUAGAACAGACCGUUCACCAAUCGGCUAGCAUUGGCCCGUAUGUUUUUCCAAUUUUCCUUUUUCUUUUUAAUGCCUAAAGACAUUAAAAAAUAAAAAGGAAAAAUAGCAGCAAGACAGUCUCCAACUUUGGACUCGUAUAGCACUUUGGUCAUUAACCUAUGGGUAAUUGGCACAAAACGUCCAUACCUUUCAAGUCUAUUGUGAAAAAUGUCCCUACCUUUCAUUUUUUGACAUUUUUGCCCUCAUUUCAACCUUUCUUUGCGCUGGACGUCCUUCCGUCCAUAUUAUAACUUAUUCAACUCAAUAAAGUUACGUGAAAUCCCUACUUUCUUGUCAAGUAAAGCUUCGUUGAAAGUGACAAGUGAGUUUUGCAUUUGUUCUUUUAAUGUCUCAGCUACCUGCACAACACUUCCCCAUGCAUCUACAUUCAGAGGGGGGUCCAACUGGAGAUUGUUGUAUGCCUUCUGAUCAUACUCCUCAAGGCCACCAUCUGAGCUUUUCUUAGCUUUACAAAGCUUCGUAGACGUAACAAGGGAGUAAUGAUCUUUACACACUGUCAAAAACACAUAAGAUGUGUGAUCCAUCAAGGAAAAAAAUGCAUUUUUUGCUUCAAAAGCAAUAUUGUCUGGAAAUGCAUGUUGAAAUCCCAUGACUGCUGACAAUGACUUAGAAAGCCAAAACAGAGGAAACGAGUUCUCUGAGAAUUUGCUAGCAACUGAAGAUUGACGACCUUCCAUAUUCUCUUCACAAGAUGCCAUGAUUAGAUUCUUAAGAACCCUUCGACAGGAUACAAACAAUCUGAGGAUCUCAAGAGCAUCGCAGGAGCAUAACAAACCAUGCCAGCCUAACAAGCUGCCAACCAGAAGCCUGAAAUGUAUAGGUUCAAUUUAACCUGUGAAACUUGCAUCAAGAAUUCACGAGGAGCACACUUGGCAGAAAACUAUAAUUGAGAGGUUAACCAUGUAUAGUCAUGUCCUAACUGUGGUGUCCAAGUUGACACUCAAUUGGUGUAACGGGAUCAAGUCUCAGUACAUCUCUAUAUCUGAAACUUCCAUGGUCAAGCUGAGGCCUGAUCUCUAGCUCUAAUAUAAUAAUGAGGUACUAAAAUUGAGAUCCAUCCCGUCAUUUGAGCUUGAUUUCAAAUUACCAACAGUUAUAUCUAGUGUUAAGACAUUGACAUUUGCUUACUUUACCCCAGUAUAAGUGCAAAAUUUCAGACGUGAAAAGAUAACGUUGGCCUUCAUUGCAAUUGUUUAGUAUGGAUAUAAUGGAAAAGCAGGAAGAAAUAGUUUUCACCAUUUGAACAUAAACUGUGAGAUCUUAACUUGAAGAAUCUCCAUAUCUUUCCCCAUUUCCAGUGUUUAUACACUGUAAUUUUUCCACCCCCUCAGCAAAUUCGAGAUCUUUAACAUUACACUGAGCUUAGAGUAAAUUUAUUCAGCAAAAAUAAUACUCAAAUUUAAAGUCUAAUAAUCUAAUGGGUUUCAUCAUGAAAGAACCUAAUUCCCAAUUACCCCUCUCCCUCCUAAGAGACAGAGAGAUAAAAAAAAAAUUAAAAAAAAAUAAAAUUUAAUGCGGAAAAUGUCUCAAUAUGACAUCAUGAGAAUUUUUCUGGCAGUCAAACCAAUAUUUCAGCUUUUUGCAAGUUAAAAGUCAACAUUUCAAAAACUCAAGGAUAAUAUACCUUUCACUUCUAAAAACAAAGAAGUUGUUCAAAUGCCAGAGAAAACAUAGAUACACAACAGGCAGCACGCCGUUUUGCAAGUUAGAAAAUGAAAACAAGAACAUUUGAGGCAAUAAAAUACCUCUCAAGGUUCAGAAUGCAAGUAAUGUACAAUGAAGUGGAUCUCGAACUCAUAUAUUCUUUUGGCAUCCAAUUUAAAAGCUUGAGCAAAUGCCGGCAUUUUGCAAAUUCAAUAUUAGUUCCUUUUUGAGCAGGAUCUCUAUUUGAUCCUGUCCACAAUGAAUCACCAUUCUGCACAUUGGAUGCAUUUUCAACUGCACAUAUAACCUCCAUCCAAUCAGGUGAUGAACUUAGAUCAACUUUAGUAGAAGCAAACAUAGAUGACGCUGACUUCUGCAAGAUCUGGCAAUACCUGGAUGCCAUAUACCUGCGGACAAACUACAAUGGUAGACUGUGAGAACAUAUCAUGAAACACAAAUCCUUUAUAAUCCCAGUUCAACAAUGACAUGGCAAGGUGAAUGUACAAACAACUAAGGGUAUAAGAGGAGUGGUGAGUGAAAGAGUAUGUAACACAAAGUAGGAUCAGGAGCAGAUUUACAGUGUGGGUCCAAGCAGUGGGGACAAUCACCCACUGGCCCCGCUUAGCCCACAAAAGAUUACAGAAUAAAGAUAAUUUGUAAAUGCCUGAGUUUGCCCCCACUGGCCCAUAGGAGAAGAUAUAAAAUAAUGAGCAGUUAAGUCCAAUGUAGAUCCUCUCUUCACGUGACGUAAACUAUCCUAUAAGACUUGAACUACCAAAUGUCAAGCACUUGAAAGAUCCAUUUUGAUAUAGUAUUUAAUAACUGAAUUAUUUUUGGAAUAGAUGAUGAACAAACACCCAAGUUAACUCUGUUCGGCCUCUCACUCUUCAUUCCAUCAAGCCACUUCUGAAUGAGUAAUUUUUUUGGUAACUUCCUCCGCGCUAUAAUAGCCAUGAACUAGUAGGUUGGAAUUAAAUUUCUUUUAUGCAUCUUGCCCUAAAACAUUUGAUCGCCCCUAUUGACCUUGAAACAAUAUAAAUUUUAGAUUAGAGACCCAUUUCCCAAUUUAUUUUAGAGGUUACCUUCGAUCAUCUUAUAUGCAUAUAGUAUAGUCAUUGUAUAUAAGUGUGUAUGCAUGUAGUUCUAACAUGAAUAAUAUGACAUAAAUUAUAAGAAGCUAUAUGAAUGAUGCAUAUGCAGCUGUUGAACCAUGUCCAAGCAGGAAGUUAAGAUUUAGGACAGAAAGAGAGAAUAAAGGGUGUGCCAAUUGGACAAGAAAAUGAAAUGAUUCUAAAAGCUAUCUUACACUUUGUUCAUAUGACAUUGUGUUGCUUAGAAACUCCAGCGCAAUGUGAUGUGCAGUGACUUUCUUCAGGUGGCCAGGCUUGUCAAUGUUACACUUUCGAGAUUCGCCUUCACGAUCAGUGACACAGGAAAGAUAUGCCUGAAUUAGAAGUGCAAGAAACUUCUUCAAAUCCUUCUUGGUAGCAUGAGUGCACCAAAUAUCAACAGUUCUGCAAAAGCUCCACAACAGUGUAGAUGGCAAUAACUUUUCAUCCAUGGAGCCUAUAGCAAAACUGUGUGUGUCACUUUUAAGCAGAGUUUGGAUCCAGAUGUCCCCAUUAAUUCCAUCAUCAAACGAGGGAGCAGGUACAUGGACCGUAACCAUUGACAAGAGAAGUUUCAUCAUGAUUUUGGUUAGACCUCCCGCUUCUUCUCUGAAAUCUGACAGGUACCUUUUCCAUCUUUUAAUUUUCUUACCGUAUAAAGAGAACUGAGCACCAUCCUUCAAUUGUUGCUGACCCCGAGUUCUAUUCCACAGAAGCAUAUAUUCUGAGGAUUUUAUCAGCUUAUUCAAAUCGGUAAGCCGCUGAAAAGCCAUGGUAUUUAACACAAAGACCAGAGGUGGACAAACUAUGCCAGUGCCUUGAAGAUAAACAUCUAAAAUAGAAUGUAUGACAUUAAGAAGAGAAGCAGAAGGCUGAAGAAUCCAAGAAAAAUAUCCUUCAUCAACAGAGCCAGUUGCCUCCAACCAAUCCCUUCCAGUGUGAGAUAAAAAUGAAUCACCUAUUUCUCCUGACAUCCUUUUUGAUGCAUCAGGAGGCAUACAGCUAAUUGCUUGUCGUAAUAAGCUUCUGCAGGACAAAUACAAACGGAAGUAGAACACUAGAAUCCAACACAUGGAUAUGUUCUCACAGCCAUCUCUCUUCUUUGAACUUCUUCUAUUAAAUAAAUUGGAGAAUUCUUUAAUAUUAUCUGGUUGUAACGAAACUAGGCAACUCAAACUCAGGCGACAAUUUUCUAUCAAAUUUUUCACAGAAACACCGACCAGAUAACUAUUGCCAGAACUGACUGUUAUUGAGUCUACAAUUAUGCUAUAUACUUCAGACAAAGCCCUUCCUAUGAGUUCUGCUUGCAGUUUGAAGUGCAGCAAGUCACAUCUACUUGGACUUGACUUUGUAAGUUCAUCUUCACUGGCCAGCUGACAGUCAACUUUCAUCCACUGCAGCGAUUCCAUAACAUCUGAACUCAACUGCCGAAUACAUCCACUUGCUUGCCCUUCUGGUAUUGACUCGACAGCUUUGCUGAGAGAGAGCCUAAAUUCUGGAGAACAUAACAUCAUGCUCAAAGAAUUUGGGUACGAAGAAUAAGCAUGCGAACUUGUUCGUGCUUUAUUGUCCCCAAGAAGUGAUACAAAAUGCCGAACUGCUCUACACAGUGCAAAUAUAGAACUAUUCACCUACACUAAUUCAAUAAAUAAAAUCAGGAUUUUGACUCCAAAAUAAAUACAAAUCAUAGAAACCAAGACAAAAUGCAAUAAAAAAAAUAUCAUAGGCAAAGAAAAUUGCUUCCAAUUUCUAUUUUGCUUAUUUUCCAAGAAGCAAAGAUAAUUUUUUUGUUAUUGACAUUUGUUAUCUAAGUAGAAGAUACAGUUGAAACCAAAGACUGCAGAAAACGAGCAGCAAGAUGUUAAUCCUCCCAAAGAGGCAAAAGUGAUAUGUAGAAGAUAUAUUUGAAAAUAGUUCAUUAUUGUUAUUUAAAUGAGCCGGAACAAAUUGGUUGAGCCUAUUAGGCUGAGGUUGGAAUGCAUAUAUUUCAGGUCUAGAUUGGCCCAUAUUUAGCCAAGUGAUAUUCAGCUAGUUCGCAAUCCUAAUAAAAAUGGGACAAAUGAGCACGCUUUGGGUCAGCCAAGUUGACUGCCAGUAAUAUGUAUAAAAUGCACACUAACCUGCCGAAGUUCGCUGUAAAGAUCAACCAGCCUGCAACCAAGACUCAGAAUCUCAGUAGACAACACAGACUGAUCCAGCACAUCUAUCGAACUAUUGCUACAGGCUACAGAGGAAAAAAUCAUAGUCCAUAAGCUCUCAAGAUCAUCAUCCACAACUUUGUACUCGAUAUCUAAUAAAUGAUGUACAGACACAAUAAUCUCCUUUCUUGUUGAAAUCAAGACUUCUCCAUGUGAACUUUUCUCUGAGCCAAAAGUACUUACAUCAUUAAUUUUGGCAGAAAAUGACACCAACAAAUCAUAAAGUAACCUCAGAAACAUAAUGGAAGCCCCUUCAGAGGUGUCUUCUGUUCUUACAUACACCUUUUCAUGAACAAUGCAGGCAAGCAAAUUAUUAAUGGCUCUUACCAUGCACGAAACAUUCAUUAACAUAGAUCCAAGUUCCCCAUCAACAUGAAGAUAUUUAUUAACGUCUGUUAUUAGAGGUUCCAUGAUGUGUACAAAAAAUUCAAAAACUGACUUCCGCAUUUCAGCGUCCAAACCAUUAGAGCUGGGCCUGUGUUCUGAAAUAACCAUUCUGGUUAGGGAAAAGUUUUCAGGCAAAUUAUUGGUUGAACUGAUUUCCGAGCCCCCAGACCCUCCUCUGCUGACUGAAGUUCCCUUUUGCUUAGUGACCGAAUUAACAAACAAGUGAAGCAGCUGUCCUAGACCGCCUAAUGCAUAUUCAUUCUUAUUUGCUGCAAUCUUCUCCAGUUUAUCAAACAGGUGUCUGUGAUAACUUCUGUUGACCGAUUUUUCCUCACUUAAUGCACCAUCAUAUGAACUUUUAUAUCUACCAGUACUUUGUAAACAUAGAAACCCAUCAAUGCGAGCUGGGUGGAAGAGCCCCUGAGCUAACACUUCUU
rnacentral:lncRNA from 1 species